UACGAAGGGGGCUAGCGCUGCUCGGAAUCACUGGGCGUAAAGGGUGCGUAGGCGGGUCUUUAAGUCAGGGGGGAAAUCCUGGAGCUCAACUCCAGAACUGCCUUUGAUACUGAAGAUCUUGAGUUCGGGAGGGGUGAGUGGAACUGCGAGUGUAGAGGUGAAAUUCGUAGAUAUUCGCAAGAACACCAGUGGCGAAGGCGGCUCACUGGCCCGAUACUGACGCUGAGGCACGAAAGCGUGGGGAGCAAACAGG
rnacentral:rRNA from 1 species